UACGGAGGGGGCUAGCGUUGUUCGGAAUUACUGGGCGUAAAGCGCGCGCAGGCGGUUCUACAAGUCAGUGGUGAAAGCCCGGAGCUCAACUCCGGAACUGCCAUUGAAACUGCAGAACUUGAGGAUGAGAGAGGUGAGUGGAAUUCCCAGUGUAGAGGUGAAAUUCGUAGAUAUUGGGAAGAACACCGGUGGCGAAGGCGGCUCACUGGCUCAUUUCUGACGCUCAGGCGCGACAGCGUGGGGAUCAAACAGG
rnacentral:rRNA from 1 species